GGCCAGUUAGCUCAGCUGGUUAGAGCGUGGUGCUAAUAACACCAAGGUCGCAGGUUUGAUCCCUGUACAGGCCA
rnacentral:tRNA from 2 species